CAUCUUGGAAGAGGGCAAAGACACUCCUGGCACCCCCCCGCCCGUCACCUCCCUUCAGACGCCAGCGCCAUCUUUGAUCACCGUAAUCACCGCCUCUUUUUGCGCUCCCGGUUAUAACCUCUGGAGCCAUUUUGGGUUAGGUCAGUGUCGCCUAUGGCCUCCCUUGCCAAGCCCGCAGUUUCUGCCAUCUGGAUGCUUCCUCGUCCCUAUUCUCUCACCUAUAACCUCUGCCUCCAUGGUGGAUCAAGAAAAUGAUGCUUUCUUUCUCCCUUCUCAUCUUGCUUCUUCCAGUGGCUCUAGCGUCACCGCUAUGCACGUGAUCUAAUAACCUGCCAUUUUGGGUCAGGGUAAUACAGACUAAUAUUGCUUCCCAUCAACCCCAGGGACCAGUAGAGAAGAGCCUUUAUGGCGAGUGCGCUCUGCUCUUUCCCCAGAAGCCAGCUUGAAGGUUCAGUCUCUGAAGGUUUCUGCCCUGGCUUUUAAAUUUCAAGUUACUGGUACAGUGAAAGUCAACGAGAAGUGUGCCUUUUUUACUAUCUGACUGAAGUCGCACGUGUCGCCAAGGAUCCAGUGUCAUUUGUGAGGGUCUGGAAGAUUCAAGUGCAUCUUCCCACCCAAGCCAUGUGUGCUCACCUGUCGACAAGGCGGGACCACAACGAGAUGAAGAAACUGAGGCACGAGAUACAGCUCCAAUAAGAAGUCCAGCUGGAAUUGACUUCACUUGGCUGAUUAACCAGGAUCCAUCAGGGUAGUCUACAGCUGGUGACAUGGCAAGAAAGAGGAGGCUGCAGAGACUGAACAAACAGCAUGCACUGUGGUAUCCUUUAUUUAAAAAUUGUGAGCUAACUACAGUUGUAGUGUUCUCAUUUACCAUUCUGAUGGCAUAAUAAACUGCGAGAACAUUAACACAAUUUCAA